UCGACCUUAAGCCUUUGCCACUUCGGCUUCCUCGGGCUUUCUUCGGUUCUCUCUCAAUCUCUCUCGAGAUGGGCUCUGCGAACAAGCACCAUUCCUCUUCCAUUACAAGGCAUAACCCGGCUUCCUCCGCCAAGUCCUCGAAGAAGGAUCUUAUCUCUUCUCUGCCCUUUGAACAGCUAGGAAAUCCAAGCACUAGCAGUGACACAGAAGACAAAAACCCUAACAUUAACCCAACCCAGUUCGUAGACUCAGACAUGGCGGCCAAUACAGCUCUCACCAUUGAUGGUGCCGAGGAAGAUUCGAUUCUCUGUGACUCUAAGUUCCUCACUCGCGAAGAAGUGAUUCGUCGUCGGUCUCGUCGUGUGAAGCAACUUGCGAGGUUUUACAAGGAUCACUAUUGGGCUUUAAUGGAGGAUCUUAGGGUUAAGUAUAGGGAGUACUAUUGGAAAUAUGGGAAGAGUCCUUUUAAGGAAGAAGAGGCGAAGGAGAAUGGUGGAGGUGGUGGUGUGGAAGGGAGUGGAGAGAACAAUAGGUCUACUUUGGGGAUUGGAGAGAAUAACAAUGAUGUGAAGAAUAAUAGGUGUGCUUUUACAGGGUGCAAAGCCAAGGCCAUGGCGCUCACCAACUAUUGUCAUCCCCAUAUCCUCUCUGAUAGCAAACAGAAGCUUUACAAGCCUUGUACAUAUGUUGUCAAAAGUUCACAAACAGGACCUGUUCUUUGUGGAAAGCCGACUCUACGAUCUACUGUGCCUGUUCUUUGCACUAUCCAUUUUCAAAAGGCUCAAAAACAUUUAACAAGGGCCUUGAAGAAGGCAGGUCUUAAUAUCUCCUCUCCAAGCUCACUAUCUCCGAAGCUCCAUCCUAUAAUUGCUGAAUCUGUACGCCAAAUCCAAGCCAAGAGAAGAGCAGCACGAAGGGCAAAUGGUGAUAAUCAUGUCACUAAGGAGGAAAAUGCUAGUUAAGCCUUCCAUUAUUGCUACAGAUUUGCUCUGGAUUCUAUAUGAAUGGUGGUCAAAGUACAUUGACGCCAAAACUGAAGAAUGACAAAUCUCUAUGACUCAUUUGCACAAGACAAAGUAUUAAGUGAGCAGUGGAUAUUGUCUUUUGAUGACCAGAAUUCUUGCCUAUCUAAGAUACAUCUUCUAAAUGGGCAGGCAGGAAUAAGCUUUCUUUCCUAGGGUCAAUAAAGACCAUAUGGAGACCUUUCUUGCAAGCUCUAUAUCUUUCCACGAACCUCCUGAGCAAGUAAUAUCUUCUAUCGUGGAUUUACCUAGCAUAAAACUAAAUUGGUUUUCUAAGAUAGUAGAUUCUCCUCUUAGGUUGGCUUCAAUAACCUUCUCCCACAAUUUCAUAGUAUGACUUAUGAGUUUUAUGCCACUAUAGUUAUUGAAGUUCUGAAUGUAACCUUUAUUUUGUAGGUAGGAACAACAAUGCUCCUCCUAUUUAACAAUUAUGCGUAGAUUAAAAAUCAAGAAAAAUAAGUAAGGGAAAAAAAUAAUGGUAUACUUAUUUGAUGAUAUUGAUAUAUUUGUUGUGCUCAGAAGUCAGAAGACAAUUCUUUUGAGCACCUUUGCUCAAGAUACUUGGCAAUCUACCACAAAUGAAAAGAGAGCAACAAAAUUUCAAGUAGCAUCAAUUAUAUUCAAUUAACCAUAGAAGGUUAAAUUAUGUUGAAAGAGGGUAGUACCUUUGGAAUAUGGAAGGGGUUCUUGGCAGCAUAUUUACAUAACAAUUUUCUGUUCAUGUAGGGCAACUUCUUGCAUAAUUUGGCAGCAAGACAUUAUUCUAAUGGGUCCUAAGAAGACUAUUAUGACUACUCCCUACUCCUAUACAUUAUUCAAGGAGCCAUGCAUGUCUCUUCCAAAGAAGGAUACAUGAUAUUUACCAUGGUAUCCCAACAAAAUUGAGAGCCAAACCAUGGUUCAAUAUCUCAGCGAGAUCUCGUUAAGAUCUCGUUUUUUUAGAUUAGCGAGACGAGAUCACAGGCGAGGUGUAAAAACACUGAGAUCUCGCCAAAUCUCGCAAAAUCUUGCCAAAAUCUCGCUAGAUCUCGCCAGAUCUUGCCAGAUUUCAUCUCUCUCUACUUUUUUGAAGAAAAAACACUAAGGGGCAAGAAUUUUGGUGCUUUUGCUUGAGGAUCUCCAAUCCUAUCUUGUG